rnacentral:rRNA from 1 species
AUCCCAGUUCGGAUCGCAGGCUGCAACCCGCCUGCGUGAAGUUGGAAUCGCUGGUAAUCGCGGAUCAGCAUGCCGCGGUGAAUACGUUCCCGGGCCUUGUACACACCGCCCGUCACACCAUGAGAGUCGGGAACACCCGAAGUCCGUAGCCUAACCGCAAGGGGGGCGCGGUCGAAGGUGGGUUCGAUAAUUGGGGUGAAGUCGUAACAAGGUAGC